rnacentral:rRNA from 1 species
UACAGAGGUGGCAAGCGUUGUUCGGAUUCAUUGGGCGUAAAGCGCGUGUAGGCGGCUUGGUAAGUCCGCUCUGAAAGCCCGGGGCUCAACCCCGGGAGGCGGGUGGAUACUGUCAAGCUCGAGUCCGGAAGAGGCGAGUGGAAUUCCUGGUGUAGCGGUGAAAUGCGCAGAUAUCAGGAGGAACACCAAUGGCGAAGGCAGCUCGCUGGGACGUGACUGACGCUGAGACGCGAAAGCGUGGGGAGCGAACAGG